rnacentral:rRNA from 1 species
CCCUUAGACGUUCUGGGCCGCACACGCGCUACACUGACCAGUGCAACAAGCAUCCGUCCUUGGCCGACAGGCCCGGGCAAUCUUUGAACGCUGGUCGUGAUGGGGAUAGACUUUUGCAAUUUUUGGUCUUCAACGAGGAAUUCCUAGUAAACGCAAGUCAUCAACUUGCAUUGAUUACGUCCCUGCCCUUUGUACACACCGCCCGUCGCACCUACCGAUUGAAUGGUCCGGUGAAGCCUCCGGAUUGGCGCGCACCUCGGUGCCGCCGAGAAGUUGGCUAAACCUUACCAUUUAGAGGAAGGUGAAGUCGUAACA